rnacentral:rRNA from 1 species
GACGAACGCUGGCGGCGUGCUUAACACAUGCAAGUCGAACGGAAAGGCCCUGCUUUUGUGGGGUGCUCGAGUGGCGAACGGGUGUGUAACACGUGAGUAACCUGCCCUUGACUUUGGGAUAACUUCAGGAAACUGGGGCUAAUAUCGGAUAGGAGCUCUUGCUGCAUGGUGUGGGUUGGAAAGUUUCGGCGGUGGGGGAUGGACUCGCGGCUUAUCGGCUUGUUGGGCGGGUAGUGGCUUCCGAGGUCUUCGACGGAUAGCCGGCCUUGGAGGGGGAACGGCCUCCAGAGUACUGAGGUACGGCCCAGUCGCCUAUGUGAGGCAGCAGGGGAGAGUAUUGCACAAUGGCGCGGCGCCUGUUGUAGCAACCUCGGGUGCGGAAUGCCGUCUUACGGGUGGAGAACCAAUUUCGCCUGAAACGUAGCGUGCUUGACGGUACUGGGUAAGGAAGCACCGGCUAACUACGUG